rnacentral:rRNA from 1 species
AUGAAAGAGCGAGUCGAAAAGAACCAGGAUCAAUCAAUGAGCACCAACAAAUACCCGCAACACCGGCAUUUGUUCAUACACGUGCGUAAGGCAAAUGAGCUCUACGACAUAGUCUUGAGUGACACAUGGCAGGCCAAAUUCAAAAGAGAAGUAGUAUUCUCGGGAGUACAACCACAGUGGAACAGCGCAACUCUCACUGGAUCAAACCUAAAGAAAAUUUUUGGGCCUGCGAACAAGAAAAAAUGUAAAGGAAUGGAAAAGAAGGUAUUCAUGCCAUUUGAAAAGGAAGACAGAUACACACUAUUAGUGCUCGACAGAUAUAGAAGGAAGCUUCAAAUCAUUGAGCCUGAAGAAACCUCUCUCGAAGAAUUGAAGAGGAAAGAAUACCUGAAAAAUCAACGUGAUCUCCACGUGCAUGAUGGCAAAUUAAGUAAGCAAAUUACUCAAAUGGAAAUCAACGAAGCCAACAAAGAAAAGGAGCAUAACAAAUACCACAACCAUAAAGACAGACUGGUGCCGAGGUUCAAGGCAGUAUACGAAAUAUUACUCGGUGAAAAAUUCGAAAAGGAAAAGACUAAAUGGGAAGUUCAAUUUUUAAAGGACGUUCCAAACGUGAACAAAGGUGAAACCCCAUUUGUUGUUCUGAGAUUCACACAUCUCUUUGAUGGCAACCACUUCGUCGAAGAGAUAGACAAUCUCGAUGAUGGCACGGAACAAUGGAAAGCACAACAACUGUUCAAGCUACUAUUUAGCGAUCAGAAUACAAUCGAACCCAGCAAAAUGGGCGAUGAGAUAACAAAGAUCUACAACGACAUCAAGGAAAAGGAAUAA